GCGUGGUGCGAGGACAGCAGAGAAACUUUCAACACCAGCAUGCAGUUUUCAUAUAUGUCGAUGCUUUUCUGUCUAAAAAUGGAGUGCACUGCAGAUGACCCUCCAUGAGCAGGCAGCUUUGACUGAUGUUGAAUGAGGCUCAUCUACCCCCAAAAGGGCGAGGUUUUUCAUCAUGAACAUCAGGUUCCCUGCUCUGUCCUACUUGGCAAUGGCAGUAAGAAGUGGGAGACAUUGUGAAAAAGGUCUGAUCCGAUGAACGGCAAAGCAAGACUAUGAGAAGACACGCUGGCAGCGAGAUGACAUGAACAGAUGAAGUUGACGGGGAAUUGAACACAACAGCAGUUUGGAUUAGAACCAGAUCUCUGAUGGCACAUAGAAAUCUCAACCCAAGUUUGAUGAAAAAAACAUUUAAUAAGCUUGAGAAAAUGCACUGUAUAAAAUUCAAGUAUUUAUCACAUUAAAAAUAACAUGAAUCCCACUGUGAGGGCCCAGCAUGUCUGGGUCAGUCUGUGUUGAAAGAUAAUCUGUAAGAUUUCUUCUUCAAAUUGUCAAGGAAGAUCUGCUCUUCUUGGAGGUAUUCACGGUCCUGUGGGCAGGAAAAACUAGAAUUACUUAGGACAGAAAUUUUAACAUUUUGGAAUGUUUAAGGAUAUUUCCUGAACAAAUUUAUGAAAUGAAACUCCUGGCAGAAGCUGUAAGUGUGCAUGUGUUGAAAAGCUGAUAGUGUAAUUGUGGAUGAGUCACAUUACAUUACUGGAAUUGUAACCUGUUUUCAAUUUCACAUUUACAAUAAAGCCUUUACUGUAACAACCUA